AAGUCUUCAGCUACUGAUGGAAGGGGCAAAGGAGGGGGCAGAGGAAGGGGAAAUGUUACACCUACUAGUGCAACUGUUGGAGAAAAUGGCAAUGGUACCCAAACAAGUGUAGUGACUGGAAGAAGUGGUAAUGGCAUCAAAACUAGUGCAACUACUAGAGCAAGGGGCAGAGGAAAGGCAAGUAGUACAAUAAUUAGACCUACCAGGGAUAUAUUCUCAGAUGUCAUUCCUUAAAUUGCUCCUAGAGGAAAGGGUACAAUACCAAGAGGAAGAGGAACUUUAACUUGUGUAAACAGGGAUCUUUAACUGGAUAUUC
rnacentral:lncRNA from 1 species